rnacentral:rRNA from 1 species
AGUGAACGCUGGCGGUAGGCCUAACACAUGCAAGUCGAACGGCAGCACAGUAAGAGCUUGCUCUUACGGGUGGCGAGUCGCGGACGGGUGAGGAAUACAUCGGAAUCUACUUUUUCGUGGGGGUUAACGUAGGGAAACUUACGCUAAUACCGCAUACGACCUACGGGUGAAAGCAGGGGAUCUUCGGACCUUGCGCGAUUGAAUGAGCCGAUGUCGGAUUAGCUAGUUGGCGGGGUAAAGGCCCACCAAGGCGACGAUCCGUAGCUGGUCUGAGAGGAUGAUCAGCCACACUAGAGCUGAAACGCGGUCCAGCCUCCUACGGGAGGCAGCAGUGGGGAAUAUUAGACAAUGGGCGCAAGCCUGAUCCAGCCAUACCGCGUGGGUGAAGAAGGCCUUCGGGUUGUGAAGCCCUUUUGUUGGGAAAGAAAAGCAGCAGGUUAAUACCCCGCUGUUCCGACGGUACCCAAAGAAUAAGCACCGGCUAACUUCGUG